ACAGACGUUUAUAGAAUGGCGAUUUACCGUACCAAGAUCCAUGGGAUGCUUUACUAUCUGAUGAUAAUCGUGAAGCCCUAAAGCGGCAGCAUCAACAGGUUUCUUGAAAACCCAGCAACGUUUUUGCUUCAACAAUGUAUUAAGAAAGCGUCUGCAGACCAUCAUUAUAUCAUUGAUUUCUUUUGCAUUUAAUCUACUACUAGCUGGAACGACACGAUCUCCGGCAUCCACACGAUCUUUGAGGGUUUGAAUCUGCUCAAGCUCUGCAGUCAACUUUCUUUUCAGGUCAAUUAGCUCGAUCCUUGUAUACGAACUAAUGUUAUAGGGAAAUUGCUAAAUGAAGACAAUGAUGUUAGAUCUAAUCUCCUUGAGAUCUAGAAGUAUAACAAGUCUGAUCUAAGUUGGUCCAAGAACAAUUAUCCCCUAGUUCACCUGGAUGCCAUCUUUCAUAAGAGUUAAUCCUAUCAUACAGAGAUGUAUGGGCUUCCUUUUCACUAGCAAAGUUCGAUAUUGCAGCCUUUAUGACAAAGGAUAAGUACUAAUAUAAGAACUGUGUCGAUUUCAGUACUACAUUUAUGAAUUUUAUAGAAUUCACUAACUUACAUAGUCAAAUGAUGCUCUUUUUGGCACAGAACAUGUAGCUGUGGUUUCAAAUAUUAUAGAUUCAGUUGCUGAAGAAGUUGAACGGCUCAAGUCUGUAGAUGAUAUGGUUCAUAUAUGGUGCGGUUGGCCCUCUGUAAUCAGAUGUUGCCGUUUCAGGAGUUGCCAAAGCAUUUGGAGUUUGAACAGCCCAGAUGAGGAGUUCGAAUAAUAUCCUAGGCAUACUAUUGGUGAAAAAUUAACCGGGUGACAAAAAUGAGCUUCUGUUUUGAAGGCUGAGGCAAAACAUGUAAAGAAAACGUUUAUGCUAGAUGAGAACAAGCGUUCCACAUAUAAGCUCUCUCAAGCAUCAACUUUAGGCGACGAUCCAUAUAUGUUGACUUCCCUCAAUGGGCAAACCAAUCGGUUAAUGGGGGUACUGUAGAGUUUGGUUAG